GCCCGGUUAGCUCAAUCGGUAGAGCGUGAGACUCUUAAUCUCAAGGUUGCGGGUGAGUAGCCUCGAAUUCGGGCA